rnacentral:rRNA from 1 species
CCUACGGGGUGCAGCAGUGGGGAAUAUUGCACAAUGGGGGAAACCCUGAUGCAGCGACGCCGCGUGAGUGAAGAAGUAAUUCGUUACGUAAAGCUCUAUCAGCAGGGAAGAAACACUGACCUUACGGUCAGCAGACGGUACCUGAGUAAGAAGCCCCGGCUAACUACGUGCCAGCAGCCGCGGUAAUACGGAGGAUGCGAGCGUUAUCCGGAUUUAUUGGGUUUAAAGGGUGCGUAGGCGGGCUUGUAAGUCAGCGGUAAAAAUUCGGGGCUCAACCCCGUCCGGCCGUUGAAACUGGGGGCCUUGAGUGGGCGAGAAGAAGGCGGAAUGCGUGGUGUAGCGGUGAAAUGCAUAGAUAUCACGCAGAACCCCGAUUGCGAAGGCAGCCUUCCGGCGCCCUACUGACGCUGAGGCACGAAAGUGUGGGUAUCAAACAGGAUUAGAUACCCUUGUAGUC